rnacentral:rRNA from 1 species
UACGGAGGGUGCAAGCGUUGUCCGGAUUUAUUGGGUUUAAAGGGUGCGUAGGCGGGAUAUUAAGUCAGUGGUGAAAGCCUUCAGCUCAACUGAAGGACUGCCAAUGAUACUGGUAUUCUGGAGUACAGACGAGGUAGGCGGAAUUUAUGGUGUAGCGGUGAAAUGCAUAGAUACCAUAAAGAACACCGAUAGCGAAGGCAGCUUACCAGGCUGUAACUGACGCUGAGGCACGAAAGCGUGGGGAGCGAACAGG